rnacentral:rRNA from 1 species
GGGCCCGCACAAGCGGUGGAGCAUGUGGUUUAAUUCGACGCAACGCGAAGAACCUUACCUACACUUGACAUCCUCGGAACUUUCUAGAGAUAGAUUGGUGCCUUCGGGAACCGAGUGACAGGUGCUGCAUGGCUGUCGUCAGCUCGUGUCGUGAGAUGUUGGGUUAAGUCCCGUAACGAGCGCAACCCUUAUCCUUAAUUGCCAGCGGUUAGGCCGGGAACUCUAAGGAGACUGCCGAUGACAAAUCGGAGGAAGGUGGGGACGACGUCAAGUCAUCAUGGCCCUUACGUGUAGGGCUACACACGUGCUACAAUGGCCGGUACAAACGGUUGCGAACCCGCGAGGGGAAGCUAAUCCGAGAAAGCCGUUCGUAGUCCGGAUUGUUGUCUGCAACUCGACAACAUGAAGUCGGAAUC